rnacentral:lncRNA from 1 species
AGCAUCAAGUCAAAUGCAAGGUUCCAACUUUCCAAACCAAGGUAAGGUACAGAGACAACAAGAUACACUCCCAACAUCAACCACCCUCACUUUGGGGCGUUCCUGAUGCAUCACAACAGUAUCCCCCGUCUUUCGGGGUUUCCCCGCUGGCGGCGGGCAUACUGCACUACAAAUACAUAAAUAUGAAGAAGAACAUACACAUCACCGAGAUUACGGACAGACGGCACCGACACAGACAGGCUCACAUCUUUAGAGGCCUACUUCUUCCGAGUACCAGGUCCUUUCUGGGGGAAAUGCAACCACCAACCAACAGCUUGCGCUUUCAUGGACGACGGACGGGACAGAUCAUUGUGAAAACAUCUUCCACAACUUACAGGGAUGAUAUUUACUAAAAAGAACCACAGAGCAACCACAAACAUGUUCCGAAGCAGAUCAGGCGUCUUCUGUCUUGCACAGGUCUAGCAGUGACA